rnacentral:rRNA from 1 species
UACGAAGGGGGCUAGCGUUGCUCGGAAUCACUGGGCGUAAAGCGCACGUAGGCGGAUUUUUAAGUCAGGGGUGAAAUCCUGGAGCUCAACUCCAGAACUGCCUUCGAUACUGAGAGUCUCGAGUCCGAGAGAGGUGAGUGGAACUGCGAGUGUAGAGGUGAAAUGCGCAGAUAUCUGGAGGAACACCGGUGGCGAAGGCGGCAUCCUGGACCGACACUGACGCUGAGGCGCGAAAGCUAGGGUAGCAAACGGG